AACCCAUCAUUCAAAAUAUCAUAACCAACAAUCUAAAAGUUAAACAUCAAAUUAAUUUUUUCAUCACGAAAAUCAAAACCAAAUCCAAACCUAUCUGAAAUAGAAACAUAAAUCAUAUUCCUUCUAAAUGAUGGUAUAUCAAGGGUAUUCUCCAAGAAAAUUUCAAAAUUAGACAUUAAAGAUAAUUUGACAACUCCUAUAUAUUCUACUUCAACUUCA
rnacentral:lncRNA from 1 species